CAGUCGCCACGGGAAUACGUAGGGUGCAAGCGUUAAUCGGAAUUACUGGGCGUAAAGCGCACGUAGGCGGAUAUUUAAGUCAGGGGUGAAAUCCCGCAGCUCAACUGCGGAACUGCCUUUGAUACUGGGUAUCUUGAGUAUGGAAGAGGUUAGUGGAAUUGCGAGUGUAGAGGUGAAAUUCGUAGAUAUUCGCAGGAACACCAGUGGCGAAGGCGGCUAACUGGUCCAUAACUGACGCUGAGGUGCGAAAGCGUGGGGAGCGAACAGGAUUAGAUACCCGUGUAGUCCCUGUCUCUUAUAC
rnacentral:rRNA from 1 species